rnacentral:rRNA from 1 species
CCUACGGGUGGCAGCAGUGAGGAAUAUUGGUCAAUGGGCGCGAGCCUGAACCAGCCAAGUAGCGUGAAGGAUGACUGCCCUACGGGUUGUAAACUUCUUUUAUAAAGGAAUAAAGUGAGGCACGUGGGCCUUUUUGUAUGUACUUUAUGAAUAAGGAUCGGCUAACUCCGUGCCAGCAGCCGAGGUAAUACGGAGGACCCGAGCGUUAGCCGGAUUGAUUGGGUUUAAAGGGAGCGUAGAGGGGUUGUUAAGUCAGUUGUGAAAGUUUGCGGCUCAACCGUAAAAUUGCAAUUGAUAGUGGCCGCCUUGAGUACGUUUGAGGUAGGCGGAAUUCGUGGUGUAGCGGUGACAUGCUUAGAUAUCACGAAGAACUCCGAUUGCGAAGGCAGCUUACUAAACUGCCACUGACAUUGAUGCUCGAAAGUGUGGGUAUCAAACAGGAUUAGAUACCCCAGUAGUC